GUUUCUGUUCUUACCAAAGCGUCAUCAGCUCCUCUCACUAAUCAGGAAGUAACAUCUUAAUUUGUGCACAUUUUGAAGGAACACAAGCCAAGCAUCACGAUGCCAAGACCUUCUCUUCUCACUUUGAUAUUGGCCAGUGCUCUGACUUCAGUAACUGGUAAUUAUAGUAUCAGACUGGUGAAUGGUAAAAAUGACUGCGCUGGAAGAGUUGAGAUCCUGUAUAAUGGCCAAUGGGGGACAGUAUGUGAUGAUGUCUGGAACAUGAAUAAUGCUGCUGUGGUGUGCAGACAGCUGGGAUGUGGAAGAGCUGUUAGU